rnacentral:rRNA from 1 species
UACGUAGGCAGCAAGCGUUGUUCGGAAUUACUGGGCGUAAAGAGCGUGUAGGCGGCCAUUCAGGUCAGCUGUGAAAACUCGAGGCUCAACCUCGAGACGUCGGUUGAAACCGUUUGGCUAGAGUCCGGAAGAGGAGAGUGGAAUUCCCGGUGUAGCGGUGAAAUGCGCAGAUAUCAGGAGGAACACCGGUGGCGAAGGCGGGUCUCUGGGCCGUUACUGACGCUGAGGAGCGAAAGCGUGGGGAGCGAACAGG